rnacentral:rRNA from 1 species
GACAGAGGGUGCAAACGUUGCUCGGAAUCACUGGGCGUAAAGGGCGUGUAGGCGGGAAGGAAAGUCAGAUGUGAAAUCCCCAGGCUCAACCUGGGAACUGCAUUUGAAACUCCCUUUCUUGAGUACCGGAGAGGAAAGUGGAAUUCCUGGUGUAGAGGUGAAAUUCGUAGAUAUCAGGAGGAACACCAGUGGCGAAGGCGGCUUUCCGGACGGUAACUGACGCUGAGACGCGAAAGCGUGGGGAGCAAACAGG